rnacentral:misc_RNA from 1 species
CCUCAUUGUUACAUCGGCUUGGGGGCAGGCAGGGGUGGCAGUUCGGUUCGCGCCGCAUGUCUCCGGCGGUACUUUCGAAGGCCUGUAUGUACAAACUUUACUCGAUGCAGCGCUCCGGCAACAGCUACAAGGUCCGCCUUGCGCUGGCGCUGUUGAAUGCGCCGUACAAGGCCAUCGAGGUCGAUAUUCUGCGCGGCGAAAGCCGUACGCCGGAAUUUCUCGGGCGCAAUCCGAGCGGACAGGUGCCGCUGCUCGAAGUCGCCGACGGGCGAUAUCUCGCCGAGUCCAACGCGAUCCUCUGGUAUGUCGCGAUCGGCACAUCGCUGGCGCCUGAGGAUCGCAUCGAU